GCGCCCGUAGCUCAGCUGGAUAGAGCACCUGGCUUCGAACCAGGUGGUCGGGAGUUCGAAUCUCUCCGGGCGCGCCA
rnacentral:tRNA from 1 species